rnacentral:rRNA from 1 species
CCUACGGGAGGCAGCAGUGGGGAAUUUUCCGCAAUGGGCGAAAGCCUGACGGAGCAACGCCGCGUGAGGGAUGAAGGCCUCUGGGCUGUAAACCUCUUUUAUCAAGGAAGAAGAUCUGACGGUACUUGAUGAAUAAGCCACGGCUAAUUCCGUGCCAGCAGCCGCGGUAAUACGGGAGUGGCAAGCGUUAUCCGGAAUUAUUGGGCGUAAAGCGUCCGCAGGCGGUCUUUUAAGUCUGUCGUCAAAGCGUGGAGCUUAACUCCAUUACUGCGAUGGAAACUGGAAGACUAGAGUGUGGUAGGGGCAGAGGGAAUUCCCGGUGUAGCGGUGAAAUGCGUAGAUAUCGGGAAGAACACCAGUGGCGAAGGCGCUCUGCUGGGCCAUAACUGACGCUCAUGGACGAAAGCCAGGGGAGCGAAAGGGAUUAGAUACCCCUGUAGUCCUGGCCGUAAACGAUGAACACUAGGUGUCGGGGGAAUCGACCCCCUCGGUGUCGUAGCCAACGCGUUAAGUGUUCCGCCUGGGGAGUACGCACGCAAGUGUGAAACUCAAAUGAAUUGACGG